rnacentral:lncRNA from 1 species
UAGAAUUAUACCUGUUACUCAAUAGACUAUUAUUUUAUGUGCAUUUACAUUUAAAAACACCUUAUUUAACAUACAACAUUGAUUUGUUGACAUUGACCUGCUACCUGUCAAUCUUACUCAGGUGAGUUUAUCCACAAAGCACAUCUUCGACUCAAGUGACUUUAUCCACAAAGCAUACUUUUCACACCUCAGCUUUCUUGCACUUAAUGACACUAGGCACUAGCAA